CCGACUUCCAACACUUGUGAGCUGCUGCCUUCGUCCCUCCAGCGUCAGAGCCACUGYGCAGCGAGGGAUGCAUCCGAGCUUUGAUCCAGCUGCAGAGCUCCAGCAGCAGUAGGAAAACAGGAGCCAGGCUCUAGAUCUCCAUGCAAGCUCUGGCUGAACUCUCGGGUACCUAUGGGAAUCGAUCGCCUUCUACCUAGUGAGCUGGAAAGAGAAGCGCAUCCAAAGGACAGCAAUGUGCACAGAAAGCUCAAGGAAGUGUGAUUUGGGRCUGGAGGUCUGAGCCACCCACGGGCCUGUCUCCUCCGGAUGCACCUUGGCUCCUGCUAUGAUUUCUCAGGGGCUUCAGGUGGCCCUGGAC